GAUUCCUGGCUCAGGAUGAACGCUAGCUACAGGCUUAACACAUGCAAGUCGAGGGGCAGCAUGAACUUAGCUUGCUAAGUUUGAUGGCGACCGGCGCACGGGUGAGUAACACGUAUCCAACCUUCCGUUUACUCAGGGAUAGCCUUUCGAAAGAAAGAUUAAUACCUGAUAGUAUGGUGAGAUUGCAUGAUAGCACCAUUAAAGAUUUAUUGGUAAACGAUGGGGAUGCGUUCCA
rnacentral:rRNA from 1 species